rnacentral:rRNA from 1 species
UGGGGAAUAUUGGACAAUGGGCGCAAGCCUGAUCCAGCCAUGCCGCGUGAGUGAUGAAGGCCCUAGGGUUGUAAAGCUCUUUCACCGGUGAAGAUAAUGACGGUAACCGGAGAAGAAGCCCCGGCUAACUUCGUGCCAGCAGCCGCGGUAAUACGAAGGGGGCUAGCGUUGUUCGGAUUUACUGGGCGUAAAGCGCACGUAGGCGGACUAUUAAGUCAGGGGUGAAAUCCCGGGGCUCAACCCCGGAACUGCCUUUGAUACUGGUAGUCUUGAGUUCGGGAGAGGUGAGUGGAAUUCCGGGUGUAGGGGUGAAAUUCGUAGAUAUUCGGAGGAACCCCAGUGGCGAAGGCGGCUCACUGGCUCGAUACUGACGCUGGGGUGCGAAAGCGUGGGGAGCAAACAGG